GACGAACGCUGGCGGCGUGCUUAACACAUGCAAGUCGAACGGAAAGGCCCUGCUUUUGUGGGGUGCUCGAGUGGCGAACGGGUGAGUAACACGUGAGUAACCUGCCCUUGACUUUGGGAUAACUUCAGGAAACUGGGGCUAAUACCGGAUAGGAGCUCCUGCUGCAUGGUGGGGGUUGGAAAGUUUCGGCGGUUGGGGAUGGACUCGCGGCUUAUCAGCUUGUUGGUGGGGUAGUGGCUUACCAAGGCUUUGACGGGUAGCCGGCCUGAGAGGGUGACCGGCCACAUUAGGACUGAGAUACGGCCCAGACUCCUACCGGAGGCAACGGUGGGGAAUAUUGCACAAUGGGCGGAAGCCUGAUGCAACAACGCCGCGUGCGGGAUGACGGCCUUCGGGUUGUAAACCGCUUUCGCCUGUGACGAAGCGUGAGUGACGGUAAUGGGUAAAGAAGCACCGGCUAACUACGUG
rnacentral:rRNA from 1 species